UACGAAGGGGGCUAGCGUUGUUCGGAAUUAUUGGGCGUAAAGCGCACGUAGGCGGCUUUGUAAGUUAGAGGUGAAAGCCCGGAGCUCAACUCCGGAAUUGCCUUUAAGACUGCAUCGCUUGAAUCAUGGAGAGGUGAGUGGAAUUCCGAGUGUAGAGGUGAAAUUCGUAGAUAUUCGGAAGAACACCAGUGGCGAAGGCGACUCACUGGACAUGUAUUGACGCUGAGGUGCGAAAGCGUGGGGAGCAAACAGG
rnacentral:rRNA from 1 species